GAUGAACGCUAGCUACAGGCUUAACACAUGCAAGUCGAGGGGCAGCAUGGUCUUAGCUUGCUAAGGCCGAUGGCGACCGGCGCACGGGUGAGUAACACGUAUCCAACCUGCCGUCUACUCUUGGACAGCCUUCUGAAAGGAAGAUUAAUACAAGAUGGCAUCAUGAGUCCGCAUGUUCACAUGAUUAAAGGUAUUCGGGUAGACGAUGGGGAUGCGUUCCAUUAGAUAGUAGGCGGGGUAACGGCCCACCUAGUCUUCGAUGGAUAGGGGUUCUGAGAGGAAGGUCCCCGACAUUGGAACUGGGACACGGUCCAAACUCCUACGGGAGGCAGCAGUGAGGAAGAUUGGUCAAUGGGCGCAGGCCUGAACCAGCCAAGUAGCGUGAAGGAUGACUGCCCUAUGGGUUGUAAACUUCUUUUAUAAAGGAAUAAAGUCGGGUAUGUAUACCCGUUUGCAUGUACUUUAUGAAUAAGGAUCGGCUAACUCCGUG
rnacentral:rRNA from 1 species